rnacentral:lncRNA from 1 species
GGUAAGUCUGUCGCGAACUUUCGCUCCGCCCUGUGUGGGACCGGAGUCGGGACACGGAGCGCCUCGCGUGGGACGCCGCCGACGGAGGCCCCCGCGGGCGGGAGGGCAGCGCCGCCAUUUCGGCUCCCGCGCGGCCGCCCCGCGCCCGACAGAGGGCGGGCUCCGGCAGGCGCCCAGCCGAGCGUGUGGGGCCGCGCGGCGGGAGCCGGGCCGGGCAGGGCGCGGGAUAGCGGCUCGGAGGAGCCGGCGGCCGUGAGGAGCCGCGCUGAGGCGUCGCUUCCCGGCUCCGCCUUGGAGCGCUGCGUGGCAGGCACCUGGAGAGGCGGAGGAUAUUAUCAACCUUUUUCUGGUACCUCUGACAGGCAUGAGUCCUGUGAGCCUCUUCUGAGCUGUGAAGGUGAAAUGAGAUACAGACAGGAAGCUGAGGACUCCAGGAAGAUUUGCCUUCGUCAUGCAUCUCUGCAUCUUGGACUUCUUCCUGCGUAAGUGAAAUAAUGCAGGAGUAAAAUCAGUACACUGUCCUAAUGCAAGAGCUUCGGGCUGUAAAACAACAGACAUAUUCUGUGGAAAGACUAGAGAAUACAUUUAUAGUGUAGAGAAGGAGUAUGUAGGAGCAGGAUGAUCCACACAUUUUAAAAACGUUCGUCUUCAGCAGUAGCUGGUGAUACCAACUGUCCUUUCACUGAAGUACUCUACGUGCUCAACUCAGAGCACUGAAAGCCUUUUGUAAACAAGUCCG